rnacentral:rRNA from 1 species
UACACGCUGUGACUAGCAUAUCAAUAAGCGGAGGAAAAGUCAACUACCUACGCUUAGGAUGUUGACGAGACUGUCGAUCUCAUCAAUACAUGACUCUGUGCAUAUCAAUAAGCGGAGGAAAAGAAACUAACAAGGAUUCCCUUAGUAACGGCGAGUGAAGCGGGAAGAGCUCAAAUUUGAAAUCUUGAAAGGUCACCUUUCACGAAUUGUAGUUUAAAGAAGUGUUUUCUGCUGAAGUUUUGGUAAAAGUUCUUUGGAAUAGGACAUCAUAGAGGGUGAGAAUCCCGUAUUUGACCAUUAUUUUCAGCUUUGUGAUACACUUUCAAAGAGUCGGAUUGUUUGGGAAUGCAGUCCAAAAUGGGUGGUAAAUUUCAUCUAAAGCUAAAUAUUGGCGAGAGACCGAUAGCGAACAAGUACCGUGAGGGAAAGAUGAAAAGAACUUUGAAAAGAGAGUUAAAUAGUACGUGAAAUUGUCAAAAGGGAAGCGUUUAACACCAGUGUUGUUUCCUGAAAAUCAACCUCUGUUAGCUUUAUGCAUGUUUGUUUAGACCUAAUCAGCUAUCUUGCAUGUUCUAUUGUUUGCAGUGGUGCACUUUUCAGUUUACAGGUCAACAUCAGUUUUUUUUACCGUAAAAAAGUUAAAGAAAGGUAGCUCAUGGCUCCGGUCGUGAGUGUUAUAGUCUUUUUCCUAUGCGGUAGGAGAGACUGAGGUCUGCAGUGUAGGCUAUUUGGCUAGAUACUCAGGUGCUAUGUGAUACCAUUUCAUAAACAACUUGUUGAUUAUGUUUUGUCUAUUGCAUACUCGCUUGUACUAUCAUACCUACGCUUAGGAUGUUGAGUAGCGACAUACGCAC